AUGACGCACGGCCAUCACCACCACCACCACCAUCACGGCGGCGGCCAUCACCACCAUGGCCACCAUCACCACCACCACCACGGGCACCAUCAUCACCAUAACGACAGCCAGCAGGCGCCGGCGCUACCGGGGUUCCCCGUCCCGUACUCUUACCUUCCCACGACGGUCGGGGCACCGCUCCUCCAAAGCAGGCCCAAGCCGGACUGCUCCGACUCUGACUCCGAGGGCGGACUCUACAACUGCACGCUUGUGGCCUGCUUGAUCCUGGCCGUGGUGUGCAUCCUCGUCUACAUGUUCGGCUGA
rnacentral:rRNA from 1 species